ACGACCUCAGAGCAGGCGAG
rnacentral:rRNA from 2 species